rnacentral:rRNA from 1 species
CAAUAGCGUAUAUUUAAGUUGUUGCAGUUAAAAAGCUCGUAGUUGGAUUUCGGGUGGGACGCAGCGGUCUCGCAUUGCGUUUGUACUGCUGCAGCCCUCCUUCUUGCCGGGGGCGGCCUCUCGGACUUCACUGUCUGGGGGUCAGAAUCGGCGAUGUUACUUUGAGUAAAUUAGAGUGUUCAAAGCAAGCUUACGCUCUGAAUAUAAUAGCAUGGGAUAACACGACGGGACUCUGGCCUAUCGUGUUGGUCUAUAGGACCAGAGUAAUGAUUAAGAGGGACAGUCGGGGGCAUUCGUAUUCCGUUGUCAGAGGUGAAAUUCUUGGAUUUACGGAAGACGAACAUCUGCGAAAGCAUUUGCCAAGGAUGUUUNCAUUGA